AACGAACGCUGGCGGCAUGCCUAACACAUGCAAGUCGAACGAGACCUUCGGGUCUAGUGGCGCACGGGUGCGUAACGCGUGGGAACCUGCCCUUAGGUUCGGAAUAACUCCCCGAAAGGGGUGCUAAUACCGGAUAAUGUCUUCGGACCAAAGAUUUAUCGCCUUUGGAUGGGCCCGCGUUGGAUUAGCUAGUUGGUGGGGUAAAAGCCUACCAAGGCGACGAUCCAUAGCUGGUCUGAGAGGAUGAUCAGCCACACUGGGACUGAGACACGGCCCAGACUCCUACGGGAGGCAGCAGUGGGGAAUAUUGGACAAUGGGCGAAAGCCUGAUCCAGCAAUGCCGCGUGAGUGAUGAAGGCCUUAGGGUUGUAAAGCUCUUUUACCCGGGAUGAUAAUGACAGUACCGGGAGAAGAAGCUCCGGCUAACUCCGU
rnacentral:rRNA from 1 species